UUUGUCAUAUAUCUCUUCAUUGAAAUGCCGUCCCUGGAAGCCUGCAUUCUUCUCUGAUUCGGAUGGAAAAAUACUGGUAGCUGACUUUUGCGCACCAAUUUCCACGCAGACACCGUGCGGGACACUUGGCAAUUGUAGUCUCUAAUGGUCAAUCUUCCAAUGAUAUGCCUACAAAUACGUCACAAUGCUGCAGACACCUUGGGGAAACAAGAGAAAGUGUCCGUUCAUUCCUGUCGCAUUCACAGCCAUAUAAGGCGAUCAUGGAAAACGUAGCCUCAGAAAUCCUGUUCAUUUCCUGGUCGGUCAAACAUCUUGGUUUUGCCUGAAGCAUUUGUUCUAGGGCACUCACAGUGAAAAUCUUUGCAGUUCUGGAAACGUAAGAGUGUCUUCUUUCCAAAACUAUCAAUUCCAAGCAUAGUCGAGCAUCUUUUCGUGACAAAAUAUUGCGCUUAAAACGGGCACGUCUUUUUAUCCAAAAAUGAAAUACUGCCCCUAUAGGACUAACAGGUUAAGAAUGAUGGAGGCCACUGUGCUCUUGGGGACCUUCAAUGUUGCAUACAUUUUUUGGUACCCCUCCCCAGAUCUCGACACAAUCCUGUCUCUGAGCUCUACGGACAAUUCCUUCGAUCUCAUAGCUUGGUUUCUUGCUCUGACAUGCACUGUCAACUGUGGGACCUUUAUAUAGACAGGUGUGUGCCUUUCCAAAUCAUGUCCAAUCAGUUGAAUUUACCACAGGUGGACUCCAAUCAAGUUGUAGAAACAUCUCAAGGAUGAUCCGUGGAAACAGGAUGCACCUGAGCUCAAUUUCAAGUCUCAUAGCAAAGGGUCUGAAUACUUAUGUAAAUAAAUUUGUUUUUUACUUUUAUAAAUUAGCAAAAAUAACAAAAACGUUUUGCUUUGUCAUUAUGGGGUAUUGUGUGUAGAUUGCUGAGGAAUUGUUUAAAAAAUAUAUAUAUUUUAGAAUAAGGCUGUAAUGUGACAAAAUGUGGAAAAAGUCAAGGGGACUGAAUACUUUCCGAAGGCACUGUCACAUUGCCUAAAUAGCAAGUAUCACACUUGAUUUUUCUAAAGGUAAAAUUUCUAUACAGAUUUUUAUUAAGAUGAGUAACUUCCUACAGCUCUUUUCUUUUUGUUCCCAGUGGUUCUGUUCAGGCUGAUGUGUAUCCAGAUGGACAUUGGUUCUGUUCAGGCUGAUGUGUAUCCAGAUGGACAUUGGUUCUGUUCAGGCUGAUGUGUAUCCAGAUAGACAUUGGUUCUGUUCAGGCUGAUGUGUAUCCAGAUAGACAUUGGUUCUGUUCAGGCUGAUGUGUGUCCAGAUAGACAUUGGUUCUGUUCAGGCUGAUGUGUAUCCAGAUAGACAUUGGUUCUGUUCAGGCUGAUGUGUGUCCAGAUGGACAUUGGUUCUGUUCAGGCUGAUGUGUGUCCAGAUGGACAUUGGUUCUGUUCAGGCUGAUGUGUGUCCAGAUGGACAUUGGUUCUGUUCAGGCUGAUGUGUGUCCAGAUAGACAUUGGUUCUGUUCAGGCUGAUGUGUGUCCAGAUGGACAUUGGUUCUGUUCAGGCUGAUGUGUGUCCAGAUGGACAUUGGUUCUGUUCAGGCUGAUGUGUGUCCAGAUGGACAUUGGUUCUGUUCAGGCUGAUGUGUGUCCAGAUAGACAUUGGUUCUGUUCAGGCGGAUUGCUGAUGUGUGUCCAGAUAGACAUUGGUUCUGUUCAGGCUGAUUGCUGAUGAGUGCCCAGAUAGACAUUGGUUCUGUUCAGGCUGAUGUGUAUCCAGAUAGACAUUGGUUCUGUUCAGGCUGAUGUGUAUCCAGAUGAACAUUGGUUCUGUUCAGGCUGAUUGCUGAUGUGUAUCCAGAUAGACAUUGGUUCUGUUCAGGUUGAUGUGUGUCCAGAUAGACGUUGGUUCUGUUCAGGCUGAUUGCUGAUGUGUGCCCAGAUGGACAUGGGUUCUGUUCAGGCUGAUGUGUAUCCAGAUAGACAUUGGUUCUGUUCAGGCUGAUGUGUAUCCAGAUAGACAUUGGUUCUGUUCAGGCUGAUGUGUAUCCAGAUAGACAUUGGUUCUGUUCAGGCUGAUGUGUAUCCAGAUAGACAUUGGUUCUGUUCAGGCUGAUGUGUAUCCAGAUAGACAUUGGUUCUGUUCAGGCUGAUGUGUGUCCAGAUGGACAUUGGUUCUGUUCAGGCUGAUUGCUGAUGUGUAUCCAGAUAGACAUUGGUUCUGUUCAGGCUGAUUGCUGAUGUGUAUCCAGAUAGACAUUGGUUCUGUUCAGGUUGAUGUGUGUCCAGAUAGACAUUGGUUCUGUUCAGGCUGAUUGCUGAUGUGUAUCCAGAUAGACAUUGGUUCUGUUCAGGUUGAUGUGUGUCCAGAUGGACAUUGGUUCUGUUCAGGCUGAUUGCUGAUGUGUAUCCAGACAGACAUUAUUUACAUGUCAGUUUAUUUCAAUGAUGAUUCCCAUCAAGAGAUACGAUCUCUUGUUUUGAUCGAGUGUCUCUACAAGGGGUGGUAUGUAUGUAGAAAUGUAACGUAUAUGAAAUACGUUUUAAGUGAAGAAAGUGAUUAGCAAGGAAUGAAUAAUGUUUGCAUCCUAAAUGACACCAUAUUCCCUACGUAGUGCACUUCUUUUGAACAGGACCCAUGGGGCUCUGGUCAAAAGUAGUGCACUAUAUAGGGAAUAGGUAUUGGUACACAGCCAUGAUGAAAUGUAGGAAUCUAAACUGUUGUUUUGCUCAUAUGAUGUACGAAGGAAGAAACUAGAAGUUGAGUGACACAACAAUGUCCAUUUUUUAUUUUCCUUACAAACACCUAGAACUGAGGAAACAGACCAGCUCACUAAACGUUGUUUUUCUUCAGAGACAAAAUAUGCAGAUUUCCUUUGAAAACGGAAUCACAACGCAAAAACAAGUGUGUGUCGGAAAUGUCACCCUAUUCCCUACGUAGUGCACUACUUUUGACCAGGGCUCUGGUGCACUAGGGAUCAGGAUGGCAUUUCAGAAAUGUUCGUCAGAAAUGUCACCCUAUUCCCUACGUAGUGCACUACUUUUGACCAGGGCUCUGGUGCACUAGGGAUCAGGAUGGCAUUUCAGACAGGUUCGUCAGAAAUGUCACCCUAUUCCCUACGUAGUGCACUACUUUUGACCAGGGCUCUGGUGCACUAGGGAUCAGGAUGGCAUUUCAGACAGGUUGAGUCAUUUCCUAAAUACAUUUUUCAGACUCAA